rnacentral:rRNA from 1 species
GAGUAACGCGUAAGUAAUCUACCCUCGCAUUUGGGAUAACCCACCGAAAGGUGUGCUAAUACCGGAUACGUCUAUUUUAAUAUCUUUUUUAUAGAGAAAGGUGGCCUCUGAUUCAAGCUACUGUGCGGGGAGGAGCUUGCGUACCAUUAGCUAGUUGGUAGGGUAAUGGCCUACCAAGGCAACGAUGGUUAGCGGGUCUGAGAGGAUGAUCCGCCACACUAGAACUGAAACACGGACCAG